UGAUUCUGUGAUUCGACAGUCCCAGAUUUGAAAGUAUUUAGGUUUCAGACUACCUCAAACUCAGUAGUUCACGUGUACAUACCUAAUGCAUACCUAACUUCCUCAUGCACGGGUACAGAAAGAUAACUGAAUUUUUUCUUGGACGUGUGCUGUGAAAGGAUGAGAUACAAAAUGAGCACAGGUUGCAGCAAGAGAAAUUCCAGUUAGGUAUUAGGAAGACAUGUUUAACCACCAGUGUCAUAAAGCACUGCAGGAAGGGCACAGAGGGCUUGUGAAAUAAAUACCCUUCAAAACAUGACUGGACAAGAUCCUCAGUAACCUUGUCUAGUUUAGCCCUGCUCUGAAUGGGAAGUUGCACAAGAUGCCCUUCACAGCUUUCUCCCCACGUUUUGUGAUUCUAAAAUAUAUAAUGAUGCAUACUUUAGGUAAAUGUAGAGUCCAAAAUAAGUCUGAGAAACUGAAAUUCAGUUGCUCUUCCCAAGAGAUUUUGUGUAAACUUAAAAGUCAUCCAUAAUAUGUUGCUAUCAAACAGAAAUGUUUCAAAACCGUAUUGAUAUAAACAAGGCAAGAAUCAGUUUUUCAGCUGUUAAGUAGCUAAUUUUCACAGCCUGUAGCACUCAUUUCUCAAAUCUGCAGAACAAAAAAAAAGUUUGUAAGAAAAAGAAAGAAAGGUUCCAGCCUCUUGAGUGAACUGAAGAGGAGGGGUUACCUGGAGCACUGUGCUCACUCUUCUAUAGAGGAGUUAAAACAAAGGGCAGUAGUACAGCUAGAGAUGGAGACAUCAGAAAUACAAAGAAAUAGAAUUACAGCAAAGGGAAAACUAAUUUAAAAAAAAAAAAGCUUACCAUUAGAAAACUUCAAAAUUCUGUCCAGAACUGCUUUUCAAACACAAAUGUGCCAGCAUCCCCAGGGAGAGGCUUCCCUGCUGCACCCUCAGCAGCUCUGGCUUUACAGCACCGCUGCUCGUCUCCUUUCAAGCUCUGCAUUGUAAGCUAGGAUUUAGCCCUUCAAAACAUAUCAGCAAAGUCUUUGUGCACGAAUCCCUUUUUUGAAGCUAGUGCUGUAUUCCAGCUGUAGACUGAGCUCUCACGAGUGACUGUAGCUGUGUUUGGGCUGCUGUUCUGUAAAAAAUUCUCCCAUGGGUUAGAAACAGUACACAGGAAUUAGUAAUCACAAAUAGUAACAGGCAAGUAUAUUGUUGGCAUUUUUUAACUUACCAAAUCCGUUUCUUUUCUUCUUAUAGCUUACCUUCAAUCUAAUCAGGUCAUGGGCUGGGGAGAGAAGGCGAUUGAACUGCGCUCUGUGGAAACAGGGAAUCUGGAAGGAGUAUUUAUGCACAAGAAAGCGCAGAAGCUAAAAUUUCUAUGUGAAAGAAAUGACAAGGUGUUCUUUGCAUCUGUACAAUCAGGAGGCAGCAGUCAAAUUUACUUUAUGACUCUUGGUCAAAAUGUACUAUUCAACUGGUAAAUUGCAUCAGAAUGAAGGAUGCUUUGAAGUUCCCUGUAGCUAGCUGUGUAAAAUGCUUGGAGGUAAUACGUAUGAAUUUGCACUUUUUACCUACAAAAAUCUUGUCAUUAUUAUCAAAAUUCAUAUUCUUGCAGUUUGGAAAGAGUUCUAUUUUCCUGUCAAAAUCUUGUAAACACAUUUAGCUCAUCUUCUCAAACACGUCGCAAGCAAAGACUGUAUUCAUAGUGUUAGGAGAGAGCAAGUUUAAUGAAGAAUGUAUCCAAUAUAACAAGCUCCUGUACUCUGGUGAGUGCACAGUUUCUUUUAUUACAGAUAAUCUAAUGUUAUCAUCUCUCUUUUUCAGACAGCCACAUCUCUAUAUAGAUACAAAAACACAGGUUGGAUGGCAAAUCAGAAUCUGUUUUGAAUUGGUUUUUAGCUUGUUAUGUAUUUUAAGCAAGUCGUUAUUGCUUCAUGAGGACUUGCUUGUCUGAGUCAUCAGUGAAAGAGCAGAUCUUCAUGAAGGGGCCUGAUGCAGUUCAGGGUGCAGAGGGCUCGUGUCCUGUGGCCGAGAAUGGGUGUUUUUUCCUGCAGCUGUAGAGGCAGCUGCCUGCAGCCUCGUGCCCUGCGUGGUGGAUCUUACAAAAGGCAGGGAGCAGACUUUGUGUUUCUCUCAGGGCUGGAAGCCUGAGCCAAUAGACACAGUUACUGUAGAACGUAUUUGUAAAAACAGUCUGAACAGAAGUUUGUCUUAAUCAUAUACGCAGUACGGAGCAGAACUUGGAGCUUUUACUCAACCAAGGGACCCACACUCGUGGGAGUUGAUUUAAAGGCACUACCUGUGUACAUAAGCCACAGGAUUAGGCACCAUCUUUUCUUCCUUGCUUGCUCUUUUAGCAACAAGUCUUCAUGUAUUUGUAUGUAAAUAUAAUCUUUCCAAAAUGGAUAUUAACAAAUGUAUUCUGAAUAUAGUUAUGAAAAUAUCCAAAGAGUUAAUCUAUUAUAAAUAGAAAAUAUAAAUAAUUUCAGGUGCUUUCUAUGCUAAUUGCAUCAAAAUAAAGCUGCAUCCGCUAGCGUUAUCAGUGCCAGUGUUUCUGCAUAAACUUUGUUCUCAGGGGCAUGUAACUUGGCCAUAAAACUAUGCAGAGGUUCUGUGAUGAAGUCGUAGGGUUUGAUGCAGUCAUCAUUUAGCUCAUUUUCAGAUAUGCUUUGAGAGUGUAAAGCAUCAAAUGUAACACGAAAGAGCUUAUUCAAGACAUGCAGUAUGGGUGACGCUGUAGGCAAAAGUGGAAUUGAUAGCUACAGUGUUUGGAAGCAGGCGUUUUAUUACUUGAAAUAGGUGAUACUGAAAGGUGCGGGGAAAGCAUAUUGGAGUAUCUCUGGUGUCUACCUCAAGGAUGAUGAUACACAAUUUACUAAGGGGAGAAGUGAAGUUGUUAAAACUGGUAGCCCUUUUUUUACAGCGUGUCAAGCUAAGGCAGUGUCAGCAGUCGUUUGUGACUGACCGGUGCUCAGAGCGCGGCCGUCAGCUCCAGCACUGCUGUCCUUGUACAGAACUGCAGCGCAGAAUCAAAGCAGCGAGUCCUCGGCCCUUCCCGCAGUGGCUGUUGUGCUGCUGCAGGCAGAGGGGAGAUGCCUGCACCACUGCUUGUCCGUGUUCCUUGGUUAUGUGGAAGCCUGCACUUUCCGAAGUUGUCGACCUAGCCCUUCCCAUGAGCACUAGCUUAUCUCAAAACGUAUAGUGGUUUUUAUGAAGUAUUUUCCUCUGCAGUGCUUUAACUUAGAGAAGCCUAAGCCUUGCUAGAGUACACGUGCAGUUAAAGUAAACUUAAAUGCAGGCAAGUAAUCUGCUUGUGUGCACUUAAAAUCCAAGCAGUGGGCAAAGCUGCAUGAAACAGGUCUCUGUCUCUGAUAUUCCUACCUGGUGUCUGUGUCAGGGCCGUGUUUUUUACCUGGCUCUUUGCUACUGAGCACUGCGUUUAUUUUGAUCAAUUUUUACCAAAAACAAACAAACAACAGCGAGAGAACAGAAACAAAGAUGAAAGUUACAGGGAAAAGGAAAAAAAAAUUACAAUCAAUCAGAAAUAUGAUUUACUUGCUUUUACUUCCAAUAAAAAGUCUAAGAAAACUGUGAAGAAAGAACACCUUUCAUUUCCUACCCAGUGGGUGUGCAAAACUUGCUUGCAAAACUGCUCUUGCCGUAAGCAAUCAGUGACCCAGGCUGCUCGACAGUAUUUUAAAGUGUGCUUAUCACAGCAGCCUCCGCAUUACAUGGCAGGCAUAUGAAUUACUCCCCUCCUCCCACGUUGGUGCCAACAGGUAAGGAGCAGAUCUUCUUGGUGCUUGGCCCUUGUUUGAAAGGAUUUAGCAGAGAACAAUGGAAAUUUAGGCCAUCCUGCGCCAAGGGGCUAAAGAAGCAAAAUGCCAUCAAACUUGUUUAAUAUUACUGUAACAGCAACGUGUGACAGUAAGAGGAUACUGUGUGAAAAUGUUUAGCUCCACAUCAGGAAAUAACCAAAGCGAGCUUAAGAGAAGGAAGUUGUGCUACUGCAUUAAGAUUUGAAUCUCUCAUUCUGCUUCCUUCUGUUAGUCCUUUUCUUUUGAGCUGAUUCAAGUCAGUGGAUUGGACUUUCACUUUUCACUUUGCAUGUAAAAACACUGAAUUACUGAGUUUACAACCACCUGUAAAUAUGGAAAAAAUCAGGACCUUAGAGGUGAAUGCUUAUAAAGGAUUUAGAAGCAGUAUUCCGAAUAAUAAUGGCAGUUGGGUGUAACAAGAACGUGGUAUUUCCUCUUUAUCAGAGAAAAAAUUAGAGCGGGUGAGGAUGAGAAAGAGCCCAGAGAUGUUGAAAAGAGUGUGUAAGUGAGAGUGUAAGUGGCUGAAGAGGAAGGAGAAGCUGAAGAAAAUGAACAGGAGUAGCCAGAGGGAGGCAGUGGAUGUCUGGACCAGGGUAGUGCUGUGGGAGGAAUGAGAGGUUACGAAAUGUUACAGAAAGUAACCAAAGUAUCUGGAAUGGCUGGGUGGUCUGAACACUGAAUGGCAGCGAUCUGAGUGACUGCAGCUUAAAGCAAAAGUUCAAAGGCUCAAGAUAAAAAAAUUCCAGAGCCCCAAGGUUUUCCUGGCAUAAAUUUAACUAUGCAAAAUGCAUAUCAAAUUUUGUAUCGUUUUGUGAGGAGUUUCUUUAGCGGAAAGUUAGUGGAAAUACCACUAACUUUUGAUACCAAGGAGAGAACUGCUGAACUAAGUAUGGUUUUCCAGCAAUGUCUCUUCAACCCAACGCUCCAGGGACAGAAGGGCAGAACAUUACAGCUUCAUAUCAGUGUUCCACUGGUACAUGCAGUAUUCUAAUGGCAGGUGGUGCUCCUACCAUUGCGUUUGCCCUAACGAGUCUGCACUAAUACUGCAUCAAGGUAGCAGUACUGUAUGUGCCUGCUUUAAUUUGAAGAGCAGUGAGCUCUGUUCUACAGCCUGAACCUCAGCAUACGACUUCAAAACAGGGAACAACGCAAGCUGUGUACUGUACAUCAUGUAUGUGGGUUUUUUGUUGUUCCCUAAUGUAAAACCGAAACUAAUAAAAAACUGCUUUGAAAAUCAAAA